UGAGGAAUAUUGGUCAAUGGGCGAGAGCCUGAACCAGCCAAGUCGCGUGAGGGAAGACGGUCCUAUGGAUUGUAAACCUCUUUUGCCGGGGAGCAAAGAGCGGCACGUGUGCCGCGCCGAGAGUACCCGGAGAAAAACGCAUCGGCUAACUCCGUGCC
rnacentral:rRNA from 1 species